UACGUAGGGGGCUAGCGUUGUCCGGAUUUAUUGGGCGUAAAGAGCGUGUAGGCGGCCAGGUAGGUCUGGUGUGAAAACGUCGAGGCUUAACCUCGAGAUGUCAUCGGAAACCAUCUGGCUAGAGUCCGGAAGAGGAGAGUGGAAUUCCUGGUGUAGCGGUGAAAUGCGCAGAUAUCAGGAGGAACACCGGUGGCGAAGGCGGGUCUCUGGGCCGAUACUGACGCUGGAGGAGCGAAAGCGUGGGGAGCGAACAGGA
rnacentral:rRNA from 1 species